GGGUCAGUAGGUUGGUCGUGCCACCGGUACGUACUGGUCUCACUGAUUCCUCCUUCCUGAAGAACCUUAAUGCCAUUAAUUUGGUGUUGCGGGGAAACAGGACUGUUACUUUGAAAAAAUUAGAGUGCUUAAAGCAAGCUAACGCUUGAAUACAUUAGCAUGGAAUAAUGAAAUAGGACGAUCGAUCCUAUUUUGUUGGUUUCUAGGAUUGACGUA
rnacentral:rRNA from 1 species